GUGUGUGUGUGACCCGUCCAUUACGAGAGAGGCGUGCAAUAAAGGAAAGGAGCGAGGGAAGGAUUAGUAACAGACCCUGGAAAAAUGUGAGUGUCGUUGAUGGUUGUGAAUAAAGUCGUUUUUCAUGCAUAGCAGAGUCUCGUCUUUACCCGGGGACCUUCAAACGACCUUAUGCAGGGGUCAAAAUGGGAAAACUGAGUCAUUGAUGAUUGUGUAUUUAUAGACGUUUUUCAUGCAUAGCGAGUUUCGUCUUUACCCAGGGACCUUCAAACGACCUUAUGCAGGGGUCGAAAUGGGAGUGCUGUGAGUGUUGUUGAUGAUUGUGUUAUUCAUAGACGUUUUUCAUGCAUAGUGGAGUUUUGUCUUGACCCAGGGACCUUCGAAUGACCUUAUGCAGGGGUCAAAAUGCCUUAAAAUGUUCAUGGGUUGUGUUCCUUACUAAGCUACACACCACAUCUUCAGACUUUUUAUCAUAGAGUGCAAUACUGAGAAGAUUUACAGAGAAAGAAAAUUAUGUAGGGUAGACUCCAAGAAACAUGGCCCAAGGUUAGGGGAGGUCAGUUAUGAGAGUGCAAUGCUGAAAAGAUUUAGAGAAAGAAAAUUAUGUAGGGUAGACUCCAAGAAACAUGGGCCAAGGUUAGGGGAGGUCAGUUAUGAGAGAGUGCAAUACUGAGAAGAUUUAGAGAAAGAAAAUUAUGUAGGGUAGACUCCAAGAAACAUGGGCCAAGGUUAGGGGAGGUCAGUUAUGAGAGAGUGCAAUGCUGAGUAGAUUUAGAGAAAGAAAAUUAUGUAGGGUAGACUCCAAGAAACAUGGGCCAAGGUUAGGGGAGGUCAGUUAUGAGAGAGCAAUACUGAGAGGAUGUUUUCUUUGUUUUUGGCGUUGAGUGGCUUUGUUUAUCAUUCCUUGUUAUGACUGGUUUAUCUUCAUGUAUCAUUGGCAUUAUUUUUAGACUAAGCUCAAUCAGUCAAUAGCAGUACACACAACAGAAGACAAAGAUGAGAGAAAGAAACUGAUCACGUUGCAGUAGGAAAUUGUGUGACUUAGGACGUAUUUCCUCCUUUUAUAUGUAUAGAAUGUUGCCUUGCUCACCCUACAUAACUAAACUGGACUCAAAGAAAUAAUAACGUCCUCUGAAAACUGACUUUUACAUGAGUAUAUACUAAAGGAAUUAUCUGUGGAUGUGGGGCGCUGAGAGAGAGGGCAAGAGCAGAGAAGGAUUGGCUGUAGGAGGCGAGUUUACACAUAAGGAACCGUCUGAGGAUGUGUCACGCUGAGAGAGAAGGUGUGGCUGUAGGAGGUGAGUUUACACAUAAGGAACCGUCUGAGGAUGUGUCACGCUGAGAGAGAAGGUGUGGCUGUAGGAGGUGAGUUUACACAUAAGGAACCGUCUGAGGAUGUGUCACGCUGAGAGAGAAGGUGUGGCUGUAGGAGGUGAGUUUACACAUAAGGAACCGUCUGAGGAUGUGUCACGCUGAGAGAGAAGGUGUGGCUGUAGGAGGUGAGUCUACACAUAAGGAACCAUCUGAGGGUGUGGUGCGCUGAGAGACAUACAAGAGCAGGGAACUUUUUUCACCAGGAGGUUUGAAGGUCACCGCAAUAGAUUCAUGCAAUUAAGAUUUAUUUUUUUCAAUCCGUGAAGCUUUACGUGGUUUACUUAUUAGUCAACACUGUAUUUAUACCUUAGGGUUAAUGGUUUAUAUCAUAUCAGCAGGGAAUCAACCAGAAUAUAUAUUUACAUGUGUAGGUUAACAUAUCAUGUAUCAACAGUAUGAUUAGGUUAGCCAUGAGUAAACACACACACACACACACACACACACACACACACACACACACACACUCGGGCCCUGUAGACUAGAAAUAGGUAAAUACACACACACACACACACACACACACACACACACACACACACACACACACACACACACACACACACACAGCUCUUGUUUUAUUGAAUUGCUGCACAGCAUGAAUUUUGUGCAAUUUGAAUAUUACUUUUUUUCCAUAACAAUACACGGCCAGGAAUAUAGAUGGUAAGUGAAGAGGCUUGUUUUGUGUUGAUAUUAAUGAUUGUGUGAGAAAUAAUCUAGCUAUUUUACACUGUGUUCAAAAAGAGUGUAAUUUGAACGUGUGUCGAGGCAGAUGGUCCUGUGAUGUGGCUCAGGGACACACCACAUGAGUCUGCACUGCUGGCAAGAAUUCAACUUUUCCAGGGUAAAAAGAUAAUAAAAAUAAAAUAAAACAAAGAUACAUAAUUGUGAUCCUGUGAAGAGUGAAAUUUAAACUUGUGUAAAGGUUGAGGAAGGUCCACUCUGCUUCAGGGCUACAACCUUCCUUCCCAGCAGCACGUGGAGUCUGCAUGAAGUGGACGCCUGAGCUGCUGGGAAGGGAUCAGCUCUUCUUGGGUGAUGGGGUAAAAGAGACAGACAUCCUAGAGCUAACAACACUGACCAUAAC